rnacentral:misc_RNA from 1 species
UUUUCGUAGGUGAACCUGCGGAAGGAUCAUUAGUGAAUUUAGGGAGUCCCUCUUAACCGGAGAAGGCCCGAUCCACUAUUUUUACACACUUGUGCAAUUGUCCACUUUUUUACGCUUGUGCAUUUAAACAAGUCGUUUAACAACACAUGAUAAUGAAAGAAAAACUUUCAGCAAUGGAUCUCUUGGCUCUCGCAUCGAUGAAGAACGCAGC